CCUACGGGCGGCAGCAGUGGGGAAUAUUGGACAAUGGGCGAAAGCCUGAUCCAGCCAUGCCGCGUGUGUGAAGAAGGCCUUCGGGUUGUAACGCACUUUCAGUGGGGAAGAAAGCCUUGGGGCUAAUACCCUCGAGGAAGGACAUCACCCACAGAAGAAGCACCGGCUAACUCCGUGCCAGCAGCCGCGGUAAUACGGAGGGUGCGAGCGUUAAUCGGAAUUACUGGGCGUAAAGCGCGCGUAGGCGGUCUGAUAAGCCGGUUGUGAAAGCCCCGGGCUCAACCUGGGAACGGCAUCCGGAACUGUCAGGCUAGAGUGCAGGAGAGGAAGGUAGAAUUCCCGGUGUAGCGGUGAAAUGCGUAGAGAUCGGGAGGAAUACCAGUGGCGAAGGCGGCCUUCUGGACUGACACUGACGCUGAGGUGCGAAAGCGUGGGUAGCAAACAGGAUUAGAUACCCCUGUAGUC
rnacentral:rRNA from 1 species